CCCAGCAGCCUCAUCAGCUGAGUAAAGAAGGUCACUUCCUGGCAGGUGCAGGACCCUCAGGAUAUCUUGGGGACGUCAUGAAGAGGAAUUAGCCCUAUUCUACAGAGCCCUCUUCCAGGUUCUCCUUGCCCUGUUUGCCGCGUACAUGAAACCCCACCACAGAUAUGGAAGCUGAAAACUAUAAAUUACCCUCACCCCCCCUUCAUUCGGGGCUCAGAUCUUUGGAGAAGUGGUCUCCUCUGAACCCGCCGGCGUUAAAUAAAUCUCCGAUUCACCAAGA